rnacentral:rRNA from 1 species
ACAGGGAUUGCCCCAGUAACGGCGAGUGAAGCGGCAACAGCUCAAAUUUGAAAUCUGGCCCCCGGGUCCGAGUUGUAAUUUGCAGAGGAUGCUUUUGGCGAGGUGCCUUCCGAGUUCCCUGGAACGGGACGCCAUAGAGGGUGAGAGCCCCGUCUGGUCGGACACCGAGCCUCUGUAAAGCUCCUUCGACGAGUCGAGUAGUUUGGGAAUGCUGCUCAAAAUGGGAGGUAUAUGUCUUCUAAAGCUAAAUAUAGGCCAGAGACCGAUAGCGCACAAGUAGAGUGAUCGAAAGAUGAAAAGCACUUUGAAAAGAGGGUUAAAAAGUACGUGAAAUUGUUGAAAGGGAAGCGCCUAUGACCAGACUUGGGCCCGGCGAAUCAUCCAGCGUUCUCGCUGGUGCACUUUGCCGGGCACAGGCCAGCAUCAGUUCGGCGCGGGGGACAAAGGUUUCGGGAAUGUGGCUCCCCCGGGAGUGUUAUAGCCCGUUGCGUAAUACCCUGCGCCGGACUGAGGUACGCGCAUUCGCAAGGAUGCUGGCGUAAUGGUCAUCAGCGACCCGUCUUGAAACACGGACCAAGGAGUCGUCUUCGUAUGCGAGUGUUCGGGUGUCAAACCCCUACGCGUAAUGAAAGUGAACGUAGGUGAGAGCUUCGGCGCAUCAUCGACCGAUCCUGAUGUUCUCGGAUGGAUUUGAGUAAGAGCAUACGGGGCCGGACCCGAAAGAAGGUGAACUAUGCCUGUAUAGGGUGAAGCCAGAGGAAACUCUGGUGGAGGCUCGCAGCGGUUCUGACGUGCGAAUCGAUCGUCAAAUAUGGGCAUGGGGGCGAAAGACUAAUC